AACCUACCUAUAAGACUGGGAUAACUUCGGGAAACCGGAGCUAAUACCGGAUAACAUAUUGAACCGCAUGGUUCAAUAGUGAAAGGCGGCUUUGCUGUCACUUAUAGAUGGAUCCGCGCCGUAUUAGCUAGUUGGUAAGGUAACGGCUUACCAAGGCAACGAUACGUAGCCGACCUGAGAGGGUGAUCGGCCACACUGGAACUGAGACACGGUCCAGACUCCUACGGGAGGCAGCAGUAGGGAAUCUUCCGCAAUGGGCGAAAGCCUGACGGAGCAACGCCGCGUGAGUGAUGAAGGUCUUCGGAUCGUAAAACUCUGUUAUCAGGGAAGAACAAAUGUGUAAGUAACUGUGCACAUCUUGACGGUACCUGAUCAGAAAGCCACGGCUAACUACGUGCCAGCAGCCGCGGUAAUACGUAGGUGGCAAGCGUUAUCCGGAAUUAUUGGGCGUAAAGCGCGCGUAGGCGGUUUUUUAAGUCUGAUGUGAAAGCCCACGGCUCAACCGUGGAGGGUCAUUGGAAACUGGAAAACUUGAGUGCAGAAGAGGAAAGUGGAAUUCCAUGUGUAGCGGUGAAAUGCGCAGAGAUAUGGAGGAACACCAGUGGCGAAGGCGACUUUCUGGUCUGUAACUGACGCUGAUGUGCGAAAGCGUGGGGAUCAAACAGGAUUAGAUACCCUGGUAGUCCACGCCGUAAACGAUGAGUGCUAAGUGUUAAGGGGUUUCCGCCCCUUAGUGCUGCAGCUAACGCAUUAAGCACUCCGCCUGGGGAGUACGACCGCAAGGUUG
rnacentral:rRNA from 1 species